rnacentral:rRNA from 1 species
GACGAACGUUGGCGGCGUGCUUAACACAUGCAAGUCGGACGGUAAGGCCCUUCGGGGUACACGAGUGGCGAACGGGUGAGUAACACGUGGGUGAUCUGCCCUGCACUUCGGGAUAAGCCUGGGAAACUGGGUCUAAUACCGGAUAGGACCCUGGGAUGCAUGUCCUGGGGUGGAAAGCUUUUGCGGUGUGGGAUGGGCCCGCGGCCUAUCAGCUUGUUGGUGGGGUGAUGGCCUACCAAGGCGGCGACGGGUAGCCGGCCUGAGAGGGUGACCGGCCACACUGGGACUGGGAUACGGCCCAGACUCCUACGGGAGGCAGCAGUGGGGAAUAUUGCACAAUGGGCGCAGGCCUGAUGCAGCGACGCCGCGUGAGGGAUGACGGCCUUCGGGUUGUAAACCUCUUUCAGCACCGACGAAGCGCAAGUGACGGUAGGUGCAGAAGAAGGACCGGCCAACUACGUGCCAGCCGCCGCAGUAA